CAUACACACGUGUGGAUUUCCAUUCCUUCAUCUCCCCAUGUGUGAGGAGGGACCACAGUGAUGCACUCUGUGUGUGUGCAUGUCCAAGGCAGCAAUGGAUAUCAGAAAGUGGUCAAAACUAAAGUGCUCCAAAACAAUGUCCAAAGAGCCACAGUAAUGUAAACUGUUGUUUUAGGAAAAGCUGCGUAGGCUCUUCUCUUUUUUAGGUACUGCGUAGACUGCAACUAUUGCAGGACAAGUAUAGUGGAAAAAGGAAAAUGUCCCUGAUCGAUAAGAUGAGAUGAGACAAAAUCACUGCAAGACUCCGACAAACCGUGGCUCUCAGUUCUCAGUUUCACGGCAAAUUUCCCUCCCUCCCAUUUUCUUUAACUUCGUCUCUUGCCCGCUGUCAUAAGGGAUGUGUUGUGGACGCCACCUCGGCACUGCCGUGAUGCCCACGCUGCGCUACGUCUGCUGGGCUCUGACCUGCAAGCAGCUCCCAGAGCCACACGUGGCUCAUAGCCUGCCUUCAGCUGAGAGCAGGCGCCGGCAACUUUACACUUAUUAAAAUAGCAAUUGUGCAUCCUUUUUGAAAAAGAAAAUGCCUUACAGCAUGUUUUACACAGGGCGCAGAGCAGAUCUGCUCUGUGAGCACAGGCAGAGCUCCGAACGGAGGAAAUGAAUGCUUUGUUGAUGACAGAUCUCUGUUUUUAUUCCCAAGGUUCAGAAGUAAAUUACCACAAAAAUGCAGACAGAACCUGUAAUAUUUGCCUCCGCAUUAUUCAUCCAGCAGUUCGGGAGUCGCAGAUCAGCAUGUGAAAGACAGCAGUUAAAAUACAGGGCCCAUUCCCAUCUCUUCUGCGCUGGUGUAAAUCAAGACUAACAUUCAGUGAAGCCAAUGGAGUGUAAAAUUGGUAGUGGGAAGUCUGUCUCUGCUCACCAGACCCUGUGCCCAUCCAGGUGGAUGUGUGUCUCCGCUGAGAGGUUCCUUGAGGAACAUGGGGCGCCGGAGCAGAGCUGCUCUGCCCACCUGGGAGCUACAGGCAGGGAUGCAAAAGGAGCAGUCUUCCUAGGACAUUUUUUUUUUUGCGUGCACCCAAAAGCAGAAUCCUCAGCACGGGAUGCAGAGGGGAGGGGCGGACUGAAAUCGUCUGUCUGCGCUGAUGAAUCAAAGGCCAGCGAGCACCAGGGACAAGUAGAGCAUGAGAUUUCGGGACCGGAGGUUCUUGAGUAUGGCUCCUGA
rnacentral:lncRNA from 1 species